rnacentral:rRNA from 1 species
UACGUAGGGGGCAAGCGUUGUCCGGAUUUAUUGGGCGUAAAGAGCGUGUAGGCGGCCAGGUAGGUCGGUUGUGAAAACUCGAGGCUCAACCUCGAGACGUCGAUGGAAACCAUCUGGCUAGAGUCCGGAAGAGGAGAGUGGAAUUCCUGGUGUAGCGGUGAAAUGCGCAGAUAUCAGGAAGAACACCUAUGGCGAAGGCAGCUCUCUGGGACGGUACUGACGCUGAGACGCGAAAGCGUGGGGAGCGAACAGG